ACACCUUCAAUUUAUGCAUUCAAAAUCUUAUUAUAAAUACAGCCCAAAAAUGCAUUAGUUUCUUCAUCCCUCAAUUUUCAUAUUUCAUAAGUACUAAGCUUUGAAACAAAAAUAAAAGAAUUAAGAAGAAUGGGUUCCAAGGCAAUUAUGUUUCUUGGUCUUUUUUUGGCUAUUUUCUUAAUGAUAAGCUCUGAGGUUGCAGCUAGGGAGUUGGCAGCUGAGACUUCCAAUGGUAAGCAUUUCUUUUCAUUUGUUCCCUCUCUUAGGGUAUGUUCGAUAAAAAAAAAUAUUUUUCAUGAAAAAUAUUUUGUAAGAAAAUAUAAGUGACUUCUUUAUUUACUUUUUUGUGUUCAAUAUCGUGAUAUAAUCUAGACAGAUAUAUAAUUGGUGGGGUUGGAUGGUGACGGUGGGAUGAAGAUGGGGCGAAGAUAAAUAUGUUUGAUCAUAAAAUUUGUCUACUUUUUGAAAAUUAUUUGAAACAAAAUCCCAAAAUUUCAAUCACUAAUGCUGUAGUUUGAUCAUGACACUUAAUAUAUAUUCUUUUUGUUUCAUGUUAUACGUCUCAAUUACUAUGCAUAAAGUAUAAGAAUAUACCAUAAACUUCCCAAACUUUGCUAAACUAAACUAAAGGUAUGUAAAUUAUAUUAUAAAUGCCCUAUGAGUUUUGUGAUCUUAUGUUACAUUGAAAUUAAAAAAAUUACAAUUAAAUAUAUAUAGGAAGAGGAGUACUCAUUUUGAAAUAUAAUAAAAAGGAAAGUACGACAUAUAAAUUGAAGUGCAAUUCAAAGACUAGUAAUGACUCAUCGUACGUGUUAGCUAGUUUAAUUAAUCUUCACAAUUCAUCGAUGCAGCGGUAAACGUUGAUGGACAUUAUUAUGGAGGCGGCUAUGGUAAGGGCCAUGGAAAACCUAAGAAAUGUUAUAGUUGCUGCAAGAAAUACAAAUAUGGAUGCAAAAAAUACUGCUGCUCUUAUGAAGAAUAUGUGGCUGCCCAGACUCACAACUAAAUAAUUAAUUAUUAUUGUAAACUUUUGAAAUUAAGUGACAAGAUACUAAUAAUCUUGCUACUUAAGACCCUUUGCUUGUAACAAGUAUGAAUAAAGCCAUUCAUUUACAAUGAAUGGUUGGUCAUGAUGUAAUGUUUUGUUGUACAAUAUAUCAUAUUGUGUUAAAAAUGUUUCCCUAAUGUUAAGAUUUUCUUCUUAUUUUUACUUAAGUAUUCUAUCAUCCCUUAAUCAUAUGUUUCAAGAUUGAAUCCUGGUCCGAAUAUAGAAUUGUCUUUGUUACAUAGUAUUUUACUCUAUUUGAAUUUUUUACCGUGAAUCCAAUUUAUUUAAGGCAUCUCUAAUUAAGGAUAUUGAACAUUGAGGGGAAAUUUUAAAAUAUUUAAUUUUCUUGUUAUUUAAUAAAGUAAGGAAAACAAUGCAGAAAAAAAGAAACAAUUUGUUCUUUUCUUUGUAUAAUAUUUAAAAAAAUAUAAUCACAGAAGAAAUAAAAUUAAAGCAUGGGGGACAAACGACUAAUAAUGUCAAAUCAUCACUUAUUUUUUUAUUUCUAAUGAACACUUUAGUCAGGGCUGAAAUCGAAAUUUUAUGAAAACAUCACAACAUAUAAACAAAAAUGAACACAUGAGUAAAUUUUAAUGAUUCAAUAUAUGAUACAAUGUAGUAGCUUUUUUCGACGAAGGAGAGUCAAUUAACAAUAUUAGAUAAGGAUGGUUACAUCAUUAAUAUUCACGAUCACCAUUAAGGGCGUAUUUACCUUAAGCUCGCAAUAUAUAUAUGCAACGUCAACCAAAUAACUCACAUUAGGGGUGUACAAAAAUGAACCGAAAACCGAAUUAAACCGCAAAUCGAGAAAAAAAAAUCCGACUAGUGGUUGGUUUGACUUGGUUUGGUAUUGAAAAAAAAACCCAACUAUAUUUGGGUUGGUUUGGUUUUAACUAAAAAAAACCAACCCGAGACCAAACCAACACGUCAUUAUAUAUAUAAUUUUAAAAUUUAUUUUAUAUUUUAUACAUAAAAAUAUUUACUUUGAAAUAAUUUUUAAAUCUUUCUUAUACUUUUUCAUAGUUUUUAUCUUUUAAUAUAUUAUUNNNNNNNNNNNNNNNNNNNNNNNNNNNNNNNNNNNNNNNNNNNNNNNNNNNNNNNNNNNNNNNNNNNNNNNNNNNNNNNNNNNNNNNNNNNNNNNNNNNNNNNNNNNNNNNNNNNNNNNNNNNNNNNNNNNNNNNNNNNNNNNNNNNNNNNNNNNNNNNNNNNNNNNNNNNNNNNNNNNNNNNNNNNNNNNNNNNNNNNNNNNNNNNNNNNNNNNNNNNNNNNNNNNNNNNNNNNNNNNNNNNNNNNNNNNNNNNNNNNNNNNNNNNNNNNNNNNNNNNNNNNNNNNNNNGAAAACAAAAAUACAGAAUGAUUAUUAUGAAAAAAAUAAGUGAACAAAUGGGGUUCUUUUGUAUAUUUUAUUUUUUGUUAUUGCUGAAUUUGCCGAACUUUUACAGCUUGUUUGAGUACUUGUUACCUAUAUAGUUGUAUUUUGGUGGCGAAAUGGUCUAAUAGACCCCUGUACUUGUAUGAGUUUGUAUUGUGAACCCUUCUACUUAACUCUUUAUCAAUUGAACCCUUAAACUUAUAAAACACAAUUUAUCAAACCCCUCUGACCAUUGACUAGGCUUAUGUGGCAUCAAUAUGGUUGAGUUGGCAAGAGUGUGUGAAUUCACUCUCGUUAAGGCGAGUGAUAUCCUAUUUAAGUUUUAAAAAAUAUUAAAAAAUUAAAAAAAAAUAAAACAAUAAAACAAAAAAACUUUAAAAAAAAUAACUAAAAAAGGCUUUCUUCUUCCGCCAACAGGUUCACAUCCAUUUUUGGCCAUCUCCAUCCCUGUCCAAUCCAUUUUUCUUUCUUCUUCACACUCUUGUCAUCUUCUUUAGCAGAUCUUCGCAUUGGCACCUAGAGAGAGACGACGCAGGUCAGUGGAAGAAGAACGAGGCGGUUGAGGGUAGGAUCUGGUCACGACAGCGAAGAGGUUUUUCGGUCAGAUCUGGUGGCCAUGGUGCGACGGAGAUGAAGACGGGUGAGGAAGAGGGCACGUAUGGUCGCCGGCAAGAGUUGCGACGACGACUGAGACGGCGGCGAGGAGCCUCCUAGAAUAUUUGUAUGCCGGAGACAGUAAGGGGUUUCUUGGCCUUCUGAUACUCCGGAGAGGAUGAAGAGCAUAUCGGUCGGUGAUGGUGAGGGGAGAGAAGCUAGUGCGGUGGCUUAGGGUUUCUAGAUUUGUGGAGGUUAGAGAAGGAGAAAAGAAAAUGGUAAGGGUGUGCGAUGAAGAUGGAGGUUGGUGGGGAGAUCGUAUUUGUGGUCUCGCCGGCAAGAGGAGCGGCAACAGCAGCGACUUUUUCCGACAGUUGGGCCAUUUCACGGUGAAAAUGGAAGAUGAUGUGAGGAGACCCAAACUUUUAAUUUAAAAUAAUAAAUUAAAAUUUAAUUUGUCAAAAUUACAUCAAAACUUUAUGAUUUUUCUUUUGUUAAAAAAGAAAUUAUUAUAUAAAAAAAAAAUGAUGUGGCAAAUUUUAUCUGACAUAGCGUAUGACAUUAGCGUGAUUGAGAAUCACGAUGAGUUGAAAGGGUUCAAUAGGUUGAGUUUAGAUGGGUUCAGGGGUCCAUAUGACAAAGAGGUAAGUAGAAGAAUUCACAAUACAAACGCAUACAAGUACAAGGGUCCACCAGAUCAUUUUGCCUAUUUUGGUAGGACUAAAGAAAUAUUUGAAGUACAAGUAAAUUAUAUGUUCGUAUGAAUACUUUACCGGAAAAACCCGAAAAAUCCGAGGUUGAAAAACCCGAGUUUUAUUGAUUUGGUUUGGUUUAUAGAUUUAAAAAUUCAACACAAAUGGUUGGAUUUGAUAAUUGAAAAAUCCGAACCAACCCGGUCAUGUACACCCCUAACUCACAUGAUUAUGAAUCAAGGAAAAGAAUAAAUAAUUUUCGUCAUGUUGUGCAAAAAUAUAUAUUUCUAAUCUUAUUAAUAUUAGGUUAGGGGGAAACCUUUUUUGGGUUAUUUAUUAUUUCUAUCUAUAUUUUGUGUAUAUAUAUAAAAAAAAAAUUGCAUAAUAUAUAAACGUAUCCUUUAAUUUGGUCUCAACUGACAUCUAGCCCUCCAACUUUGGAUGUGCACAAGUAGGGACUUAAACUUGUAUAGAGUUGAACAAGUAGACACACUAGUCCUACGUGACAUAAUACGCAUAGGACACCAUGUACGACACAAAUUAUCAUGUAGGACAUGUAUAUCUACUUGUUCUAUUAUAUAUAAACUUAAGUGUUUACCAUUAGUACACAUCCAAAAUUAAAGGUUAUAAAUAUCGAUUAAGGUCAAAAUAAAAUAAUAUUUUCAUGUAUUAUACUUGUUUUUUUAGAAGACUUUUCUUGAGUUAUAAAGCAAUAAAGAGAGUUGGCCCCUCUUAUUUAACUUGAUACGUUGUACAUUAAAAGAGUCAUUAAAUACGUCAUUUAAAGUCUUUGAGUAUUGACCAAAUCCAAGAGUAUAUAUACACCACUAUUUCUAGAUAUUUUAGGAUAAGGUAGUCCUACAAGUUAGCAUAUUUUAAAUUACUUUUUUGCAUAACUAUCCAAAAAUAUACUAUUAACACGACGAUUUAUUAUCGAAAUAUAUAAUACCCAUCACAUGCAUAUUAUUUUUUAAAGUUAUUUUAAUGUUUGAUUUUCUACUAAGUAUUAAUCUUUGUUUUUAGUUUGUUUUGUCGGAUGGUGUACGUAAGCCACUUGGUCAUAUUGAUGUGAUAUAUUUACAAAUAUUUUUUCGAAAAAAUAAGUAAAUUUUUAUCUAUUCUUAUGUUUUUUUAUAGGGAAAAAGUCUGAAAUAUAUUCGAACUUUAGCCAUUCUACUUAAUUUUACUAAUGGUGUUAUAGUAUUAACGUAUGUACUUGUGCCUUUCUACUUUUACUAAUGGUGUUUUGAUUAUUUUUAACUUUUAAUUUGAUUAUUUUGAAUAUUUAAGAUUUGUAAAAUACAAACAGAUACAAUUUAUAAAUAUUAUGUUUUUUUCAUCUUAACAAAAUAUUACUUACGACUCCACCAUAAAAUCAACACUCUAUUUAUCUACCACUUGUAGAGCAAGUUGUUCAUUUCUUUGGUCCAUACAUAAUUGCAAUCCGUAUAUGUAUCCCCUCACACCUCUAAUUAUUUAUGCAUUCAAAUCUUAUUAUAAAUAGAGCCCAAAAAUGCAUUAGUUUCUUCAUCCCUCAAUUUUCAUAUUUCAUAAGUACUAAGUUUUGAACAAAAGAAAAAUUAAAAAGAAUGGGUUCCAAGGCAAUUAUGUUUCUUGGUCUUUUUUUGGCUAUUUUCUUAAUGAUAAGCUCUGAGGUUGCAGCUAGGGAGUUGGCAGCUGAGACUUCCAAUGGUAAGCAUUUCUUUUCAUUUGUUCCCUCUCUUAGGGUGUGUUCGAUAAAAAAAAAAUGUUUUCAUGAAAAAUAUUUUGUAAGAAAAUAUAAGUGACUUCUUUAUUUACUUUGUUGUGUUUAAUAUUGUGAUAUAAUCUAGAUAAAUAUAUAAUUGGUGGGGUUGGAUGAUGACGGUGGGAUGAGGAUGGGGGAAGAUAAAUAUGUUUGAUCAUAAAAUUUGUCUACUUUUUGAAAAUUAUUGGAAACGAAAUCCCAAAAUUUCAAUUAAUAAUGCUAUAGUUUGAUCAUGACACUAAAUAUACAUUCCUUUUGUUUCAUUUUAUAUGUCUCAAUUACUAUGCAUAAAGUUUAAGAAUAUACCAUAAACUUUCCAAUCUUUGCUAAACUAAACUAAAGGCGUGUAAAUUAUAUUAUAAAUGUCCUAUGAAUUUUGUGAUCUUAUGUUACAUUGGAAUUAAAAAAAUUAAUUACAAUUAAAUAUAUAUAGUUAAUGGAGUACUCAUUUUGAAAUAUAAUAAAAAGGAAAGUACGACAUAUAAAUUGAAGCUCAAUUCAGAGACUAGUCAUAACUCAUCGUACGUGUUAGCUAGUUUAAUUAAUCUUCACAAUUCAUCGAUGCAGCGGUAAACGUUGAUGGACAUUAUUAUGGCGGUGGCUAUCACGAGGGCUAUGGAAAACCUAAGAAAUGUCAUAGUUGCUGCAAAAAAUACAAUAUGGAUGCAUAAAAUACUGCUGCUCUUAUGAAGAAUAUGUGGCUGCCCAGACUCACAACUAAAUAAUUAAUUGUGUGUAUUAUUAUUGUAAACUUUUGAAAUUAAGUGACAAGAUAAUAAUAAUCUUGUUACUUAAGACCCUUUGCUUGUAACAAGUAUGAAUAAAGCCAUUCAUUUACUAUGAAUGGUUGGUCAUGAUGUAAUGUUUUGUUGUACAAUAUAUCAUAUUGUGUUAAAAAAUGUUUCCCUAAUGUUAAGAUUUUCUUCUUAUUUUUACUUUAAGUAUUAUAUUCUAUCAUCCUUUAAUCAUAUAUUUCAGGAUUGAAUCCUGAUCCGAAUAUAGAAUUGUCUUUGUUACAUAGUGUUUUACUUGAUCUGAAUUUUUUAACGUGAAUCCAAUUUAUUUAAGGCAUCUCUAAGGAUAUUGAACAUCGAGGGGAAAAUUUAAAAUAUUUAAUUUUCUUGUUAUUUAAUAAAGUAAGGAAAACAAUGCAGAAAAAAGAAACAAUUUGUUCUUUUCUUUGUCUAAUAUUUUUUAAAAGUAUAAUCACAGAAGAAAUAAAAUUAAAGCAUGGGGGACAAAAGACUAAUAAUGUCAAAUCAUCACUUAUUUUUUGAUUUCUAAUGAACACUCUAGUCAGGGCUGAAAUCGAAAUUUUAUGAAAACAUCACAAUAUAAACAAAAAUAAACACAUGAGUAAAUUUUAAUGAUUCAAUAUAUGAUACAAUGUAGUAACUUUUUUCGACGAAGGAGAGUCAAUUAACACUCUUAGAUAAGGAUGGUUACAUCAUUAAUAUUCACGAUCACCAUUAGGGGCGGAUUUACCUUAAGCUCGCAAUGCCAUCUAGCUAUUAGUCAUGCAUGGAAAAUAAAUUUUCUUAUGCACAUGAUCAACUAAAUAAAUAUCGUAUUAUUUAGAAAAGAUUUAUAUAUAUAUAUGCAACAUCAACCAAAUAACUCACAAUCUCACAUGAUUAUUAAUCAGGGAAAAGAUUAAAUAAUUUUCGUCAUGUUGUGCAAAAAUAUAUAUUUCUAAUCUUAUUAAUAUUAGGUUAGGGGGGGAAACCGUUUUUUUGGGUUAUUUAUUAUUUCUAUCUAUAUUUUGUGUAUAUAUAUAAAAAAAAAUUAGCAUAAAAUAUAAACGUAUCCUUUAAUUUGGUCUCAACUGACAUCUAGCCCUCCAACUUUGGAUGUGCACAAGUAGAGACUUAAACUUGUAUAGAGUUGAACAAGUAGACACACUAAUCCUACAUGACAUAAUACGUGUAGGACCGCAUGUACGACACAAAUUAUCAUGUAGAACAUGUGUGUUUACUUAUUCUAUUAUAUAUAAAGUUAAGUGUUUACCAUUAGUACACAUUCAAAAUUAAAGGUUAUAAAUAUCGGUUAAGGUCAAAAUAAAAUAAUAUUUUCAUGUAUUAUACUUGUUUUUUUAGUAAGACUUUUCUUGAGUUAUAAAGCAAAUGAAGAGAGUUGGCCCCUCUUAUUUAACUUGAUACGUUGUACAUUAAAUACGUCAUUUAAAGUCUUUGAGUAUUGACCAAAUCCAAGAGUAUAUAUACACCACUAUUUCUAGAUAUUUUAGGAUAAGGUAGUCCUACAUGUUAGCAUAUUUUAAAUUACUUUUUUGCAUAACUGUCCAAAAAUAUACUAUUAACACGACGAUUUAUUAUCGAAAUAUAUAAUACCCAUCACAUGCAUAUUAUUUUUUAAAGUUAUUUUAAUGUUGUUUGAUUAUCUACUAAGUAUUAAUCUUUGUUUUUAGUUUGUUUUGUCGGACGGUGUACGUAAGCCACUUGGUCAUAUUGAUGUGAUAUAUUUACAAAUAUCUUUUCGAAAAAAUAAGUAAAUUUUUAUCUAUUCUUAUUUUUUUUAUAGGGAAAAAAGACUGAAAUAUAUACAAACUUUGGCCAUUCUACUUUUAAUAAUGGUGUUAUAGUAUUAACGUAUGUACUUGUGCCUCUCUACUUUUACUAAUGGUGUUUCGAUAUUUUUAACUUUUAAUUUGAUUAUUUUGAAUAUUUAAGAUUUGUAAAAUACAAACAAAUACAAUUUAUAAAUAUUAUGUUUUUUUCAUCUUAACAAAAUAUUACUUACGACUCCACCAUAAAAUCAACACUCUAUUUAUCUGCCACUUGUAGAGCAAGCUCAUUUCUUUGGUCCAUAAAAUAAUUGCAAUCCGUACAUGUGUCCCCUCACACCUCUAAUUAUUUAUGCAUUCAAAUCUUAUUAUAAAUGAGCCCAAACAUGCAUUAGUUUCUUCAUCCCUCAAUUUUCAUAUUUCAUAAGUACUAAGUUUUGAACAAAAGAAAAAUUAAAAAGAAUGGGUUCCAAGGCAAUUAUGUUUCUUGGUAUUUUUUUGGCUAUUUUCUUAAUGAUAAGCUCUGAGGUUGCAGCUAGGGAGUUGGCAGCUGAGACUUCCAAUGGUAAGCAUUUCUUCUCAUUUGUUCCCUCUCUUAGGGUGUGUUCGAUAAAAAAAAAUGUUUUUCAUGAAAUAUAUUUUGUAAGAAAAUAUGAAUGACUUCUUUAUUUACUUUUUUGUGUUCAAUAUUGUGAUAUAAUCUAGACAGAUAUAUAAUUGGUGGGGUUGGAUGGUGAGGGUGUGGGGAUGAGGAUGGGGGCGAAGAUAAAUAUGUUUGGUCAUAAAAUUUGUCUACUUUUUAAAAAUUAUUGGAAACCAAAUCCAAAAAUUUCAAUCACUAAUGCUAUAGUUUGAUCAUGACAUUUAAUAUACAUUCCUUUUGUUUCAUUUAAUAUAUGUCUCAAUUACAAGGCAUAAACCUUCCAAUCUUUGCUAAACUAAACUAAAGGUGUGUAAAUUAUAUUAUAAAUGUCCUACGAAUUUUGUGAUCUUUUGUUACAUUGAACUUAAAAAAUAUACAAUUAAAUAUAUAUAGGAAAAGGAGUACUCAUUUUGAAAUAUAAUAAAAAGGAAAGUACGACAUAUAAAUUGAAGCUCAAUUCAGAGACUAGUCAUGACUCAUCGUAUGUGUAAGCUAGUUUAAUUAAUCUUCACAAUUCAUCGAUGUAGCGGUCAACGUUGAUGGACAUUAUCAUGGUGGCGGCUAUGGUAAGGGCUAUGGAAAACCUAAAAAAUGUUAUAGUUGCUGCAAGAAAACCAAAUAUGGAUGCAAAAAAUACUGCUGCUCUUAUGAAGAAUAUGUGGCUGCCCAGACUCACAACUAAAUAAUUAAUUGUGUGUAUUAUUAUUGUAAACUUUUGAAAUUAAGUGACAAGAUAAUAAUAAUCUUGCUACUUAAGACCCUUUGCUUGUAACAAGUAUGAAUAAAGCCAUUCAUUUACUAUGAAUGGUUGGUCAUGAUGUAAUGUUUUGUUGUACAAUAUAUCAUAUUGUGUUAAAAAUGUUUCCCUAAUGUUAAGAUUUCCUUCUUAUUUUUACUUAAGUAUUCUAUCAUCCUUUAAUCAUAUGUUUCAGGAUUGAAUCCUGAUCCGAAUAUAAAAUCGUCUUUAUUACAUAGCUUUUACUCGAUCUGAAUUUUUUACCGUGAAUCCAAUUUAUUUAAGGCAUCUCUAAUUAAGGAUAUUGAACAUUGAGGGGAAAAAUUUAAAAUAUUUAAUUUUCU
rnacentral:lncRNA from 1 species